AUAACUGUUAGGUGAGGUGGUGAGCCAGUCGGUGAGACCGCACCACCCAUUAAAAAUUACUAAUCACGAAGAUUUUCAUAUCUCUACCUAGGGAGUGUAGGGAUCUAAAAAAAUUAUGGGAGCCUAAUUUAUUUAAAAAUAAAAUCUCUAAAUAAAUUGGUUAAGCCUGAUUAUAAAAUCUAACUAGAAACUUUUGACUCUCUACAGGAAACAUGUCUGCAUCCAACCCCC
rnacentral:lncRNA from 1 species